ACAGACAGACUAGAACAACCUGAUUUUAAGUUGAGGCUGUGGAAUGUAUGGAGAUCUCUCUGCCAGGAGUCCUCAAGGAUACCACCACCAGAGCCAGCCCAGGUAAGAGCAGAAAAUGACCGCAUUAAGAUGUCAUAGACAAUGGGUUCAAAGGGUGGAGGUCACAAAGGGGAUCACAGCCACCCUGUGUACUGGCCCUCACUUGUGUCAGAGUUGCUUGUCACACGCAUGCUUAGCUGGCCUGGAAGUGAGGGACGAAGGAGCUUUCCGUGAAUUCUUUUAAAAUUUAACCACAGCGUUUCCAUGAAAGUCCAGGGAGGUGCUUACUGGGAAGGCAGUUUGCCGAAAUGGGCUCCUCCAUCCUUGAAGGUCAUAGAAGGAGUGUGGCUUUUAUUCUGAAGUCAAGGGGACAGACACAGCCCAUGGACAGACCCAGUGGUAUUGCACACACAGGCUCUGGAGAAGACCUAUCGGCCAAGCUCAGCUUUGCUCACCGAGGGGCAGGAGUGAAGGGGCAGCUCCUGGUGGCUCGGAGGGUCCAGUAUUCAUCACUUGCAGCUCUGCCUAGAAACACAUGACCAAGCAUGACCCAAAGCAGGAGGGUAGGAAGGGCAUUAACCCCACCUGAACGGGGCUCACCCUUCUGACCUCAUCUAACCACAUCAGCCCCAUAGACCGUCAUACUGGAGGAGAGGGGCUUCAACACGUGAAUUUUGAAGGAUCACAAGUCAGACUACCACAGCCCCCAAAGUUCUUUCCCUUGGAGAAACUCUGGGCCAAAAACCGUGUCUGACACAGAACCUGGAAAAGUGCAUUGGCAUUCCUCCAUGUAUCGAUACAGUAGCCCCAAUAACAGACACCCUCAGCAAUGAUUGAACCCCUGAACUUGCUUCUCCUCAGGUGACCCAGUGAGAGCCUAUAGACUCCCGUAAUACCCAGUGCUGAAAUUGUUCCUGUGUGAUCCAUUAUCGUCCCACCCUCCCUUCUUUGGCUGGAGACUAUUGCUAUGUAGCCCAGGUUGGCCAGGGACUCUCCGACUCCCUGCUUCAGCUUCCCAAGUCCUGGGGUGACAGGCACACACCACUAUGCCUGGCAUCCUAGUGCCAUCUUGGGUCUCUUCAAGGGGAGCAACGAAAAGCUGAGCCAGCCAGGAGCUGAGGAUCCGGAAUUGAGGUCCUCCUGGGGCAGGUUCCUCUCUGUCACCGGACCCCAGGGGCGUUUUAAGCUCUAUGAGUAUGCUCAGGAGACACCGUGAAAUAUAAUAAAAAUAAAAAGUGCUUCAACCGAACAAUACAGCAAAGCAGGAGACAAGUGCCCUGGUCAACACCAGAGCGCCACCAGCCUCCUCCUGCCUGGUGAGGCCCAGCGAGUGGGGAGAUCUCAGAGGAGAGGAGUUGCCUCUCCACACACCCUGGCCACGCCCUCCACAGUUUCUUUAUCUCUCCUCUUGCCUCAGUUGGAUCUUUCAGGGACCUACGAGAACAACACUUUACUUCAGGACAAGCUGGCGUUGUGUCCCAGUAAGGAGAGUUCUAUGAACCAGGCCAUGCCCAGAUUAACGUCUGUAUUCCAAGCAGCCGUGAUCUGUGUCCCCAGCUGACUGCCUUGGGGCCUGGGGAAGGGAACUUCUAAUUCUGAAUAAAUACCUCUGACUU